ACAAAACAAAAGCAAAAGCUCAACAAUCUAAAAAAUCUAGCUAGAACCAAGAACCAAGAACUAAGAACAGAGAACAAAUCUCUUCUCACAGCAACUCAGUCUCCUAGCUUAGCAAUCAGGUUUCCUUCAGCAUGUUGGCUUUGCUGCUUGUUCCCCUCUUUAGGGAUAAUUGUGCGGAGUUGAUCCAUAUCUGGCCAUCCAUAUGAGAAUUUGCCAACAACAGCAUGUUGUAGCUUCUCAAUCACGUUCAUCCGGGACACCUCUUCCUCUGUCCAUUUGAGAUAAGGCUUACCAUGAAGAUAAGAGAUUUUCUUCAUUUCAAUUGGUGGAACUGUGUAUUUCUGAUUUUGUGUAGUAGCAUUCAAAGUAGUAGGUUUCAAAAGUUCAGCAUACUGUAAUUUGUUCUCUCUCGGUUGUAAUAUCCCUUCCUCUUGAUGAAUUGUUGUAGUA